AGGCAUCGAUCAGUAGCUGGUCUGAGAGGACGACCAGCCACACUGGAACUGAGACACGGUCCAGACUCCUACGGGAGGCAGCAGUGGGGAAUUUUGGACAAUGGGCGCAAGCCUGAUCCAGCAAUGCCGCGUGAGUGAAGAAGGCCUUCGGGUUGUAAAGCUCUUUUGUCAGGGAAGAAACGGGUGGAGCUAAUAUCUCUGCCUAAUGACGGUACCUGAAGAAUAAGCACCGGCUAACUACGUGCCAGCAGCCGCGGUAAUACGUAGGGUGCAAGCGUUAAUCGGAAUUACUGGGCGUAAAGCGUGCGCAGGCGGUUUUGUAAGUCUGUCGUGAAAUCCCCGGGCUCAACCUGGGAAUUGCGAUGGAGACUGCAAGGCUAGAAUCUGGCAGAGGGGGGUAGAAUUCCACGUGUAGCAGUGAAAUGCGUAGAGAUGUGGAGGAACACCGAUGGCGAAGGCAGCCCCCUGGGUCAAGAUUGACGCUCAUGCACGAAAGCGUGGGGAGCAAACAGGAUUAGAUACCCUGGUAGUCCACGCCCUAAACGAUGUCUACUAGUUGUCGGGUCUUAAUUGACUUGGUAACGCAGCCAACGCGUGAAGUAGACCGCCUGGGGAGUACGGUCGCAAGAUUAAAACUCAAAGGAAUUGACGGGGACCCGCACAAGCGGUGGAUGAUGUGGAUUAAUUCGAUGCAACGCGAAAAACCUUACCUACCCUUGACAUGUACGGAAGCCUGGAGAGAUCUGGGUGUGCUCGAAAGAGAGCCGUAACACAGGUGCUGCAUGGCUGUCGUCAGCUCGUGUCGUGAGAUGUUGGGUUAAGCCCCGCAACGAGCGCAACCCUUGUCAUUAGUUGCUACGAAAGAGCACUCUAAUGAGACUGCCGGUGACAAACCGGAGGAAGGUGGGGAUGACGUCAAGUCCUCAUGGCCCUUAUGGGUAGGGCUUCACACGUCAUACAAUGGUACAUACAGAGGGCCGCCAACCCGCGAGGGGGAGCUAAUCCCAGAAAGUGUAUCGUAGUCCGGAUUGUAGUCUGCAACUCGACUACAUGAAGUUGGAAUCGCUAGUAAUCGCGGAUCAGCAUGUCGCGGUGAAUACGUUCCCGGGUCUUGUACACACCGCCCGUCACACCAUGGGAGCGGGUUUUACCAGAAGUAGGUAGCUUAACCGCAAGGGGGGCGCUUACCACGGUAGGAUUCGUGACUGGGGUGAAGUCGUAACAAGGUA
rnacentral:rRNA from 1 species